AAAAGAGGACACAUAAUGGAAUAGUGUCUAAAUGAAUCCCAGUGUUAUGAUGCCAAUCAUAUCAGGAAAUCUGCCUCGAGGACUUGUUAUCUGUGUGCUCUACUUGAGCAUUCCUGUGCUUCUCUUUUUGGCUUAUCCUCAGUAGCCAGAUUAUUUUUAUCUUGCCAUACAAUUUGGACCUAGGACAUCAGGCACAAAGGUGUUAGAUUAUACCAAAGUGGUGAAAUCCAGAUCCUCCAAAAUACUGACAAGCCCAAUGCCUGUUAACUUUCCUAGCUUCCAUUGAAACUAAUGGAUUUCUGUGUGCAGCCUCCUGAGUUGCUCUGAUGUUCUAAGCCUAAAUUCUCAACAAGUUGUCAGCCAUGGUGUUCCUGGGCUUUCUCCUCCAAGGCUAGGUAUUUCAGAGUUGCACUCUCCUUUCUACCUUUUUUGUGUGUGUGUGUGCGUCCUGUGCUUUUAAGCAGAAACAUAGAACCAUCUCUUCUCUCCCCAGGUCUUAUUUCUGCUCUAUCUUGUGUAAAUCAGUAGUUCUUCUAGUAAGCAGAAAGCCGCUCUGGAUUUCUGAUUCCUGCAAAAAGCUUUUUGUUUUGCUUCAUUUUUAAUAAAAUUACUUUCCUCAGUUGUUUGUGUGCUACAUUGGACUUACUGUUGGUGAAAAGUCCCAGCAUGGGAGCUAUGUGGAUAGCAUCUGUAAAAGUUUUUCUGGCUCUGCUGGUUUUUCAUGGUGGAGCCCUGACCAGGAGGAACACACGUCAAGUACAGGGAAGGUAGUUUGGUGCCCCAGUUCUUAGACUUUCACUGUUACACAGAUUAAAAAACAAUCUAGUUAUUUCACACAGCAAUGUGUAUCUGGAGUGGACAUUGUGUUUGCUGUCGCAGAUGAACUUCUUUAGAUCCAUCUUCAAAACAGACAAGUUUGUCUCCAGUUACAAGGUGCUCACUCCUCUGACCUUUGAUUUCUGUUCAGGUCUUACAGGUCCAAGAGCUGAUCGCAAAGAUGACAGCUUCAAAGAUGUCUCAGAGAGAACCCCAAACUCUAUUCUUGGGCUGAGUGGGAGAUAUGUCUGUCUUCUGAGGAGGACCAUCACAUUUUAGUUUGAACAUCUUUGAAUCAGGCUAAAACUCCAGUGACAGAAGGAAAAAGCCUGUCCUAGAAGAGCAUAUAUUGAAAGAUUGCACUGCCACCAGCAUGUUGCUUUUAGAAGUCUGGGCAUGUUAAAGGUAUUUAUUUAUUUAUUUAUUUAUUUUUACUUUGCUACCUUCUGUUAUUUGGAGAAAUAUCUUUCAUGCGUUGCCUGCUGACAAUUGAACUUUAACAGACAAGAUUUUCACAAUCAAUGACUGGUUUGAGAUCUUUCUGUUUCUGAGUUGUUAACCUGUGAUAUUUUUGUUUUCACGAGGUAGCUAUUCAGCAUUUCAUAAAAUCAUCUGCACUUUACACUACUGCAGUUUAAUCAGCCUCAAGUGUAGGUACUGAAAAUCACCAAUUACUUUUGAAAACUUGGGCCAGAUGAUCAACACCUUUUUACAAGAAUGAAAAAUAGCAAGUGAAAAGACUUUGUGAUUGUUCUUUAUGGCAAAGAAUGGACAGUCUGAAUAAAUUGUAGAAGGGUUAAUCA
rnacentral:lncRNA from 1 species